rnacentral:lncRNA from 1 species
AACUCCAUGGUCUUGUUUGAAUACCACGGGAGGUUAAUCAAUUUUUGUUAUAAAACGAAACUAACAUUCUAACAUUUCAUGGGUGGAGACUCACUUCUCACGGGAAAUUGGGACAUUGAAUUUUUCAAACCUUGCAAGAAUUUUGUAGCAAGCAUUUGCAUACAUCAUGUCAUUCAUGUGCUUUCAUCACUGUGAUCAGGCCAAUAUUGACAUAUCACUUGAUCCUAGCCUGACAUAAUCUGAUUUGCAAAGUUCCCCCUAAGCUCUAAUAAAAUAUUUUCCCGUUUAGAUAUAGAGAUGAUGCAGUUCAUGGCAUGAUCAUUUCACUGAUCAUCAGUGAUCAUUCCGUAUUGAUACAAGUGGGUGAAGGCAGUCAGGCAGAUUGGAUCUAUCUUGAAUGGUCUGCAUGUACCAGUGCUGGUCUGACAUGAUCUGAUUUCCAAAGUUCCCCCUAAGCUGUAGUAAAAUAUUUUCCCGUUUAGAUAUAGAGAUGAUGCAGUUCGUGGCAUGAUCAUUCCACUGAUCAUCAGUGAUCCGAUUCCGUAUUGAUACAAGUGGGUGAAUAUAAAAAUUGUGAAAAUACAAGGAGAACUUCGACGUUUCAAGCGAAGCCGGACCUUUCGACGAUCCAUAGUAAGUUAUUGAUUUAUUUCCUCGUUUUCUAAUAAAUCCCGUUUUAUUUAUUCAGGACAACUAGUUCAUGAAAGGGUUUCUAAGAACGAGUAUUCAGUUUAUCAACUCGGGAUAAAAUCGCUGAAUACCGCUAAACAAAAGGACAAGUUAUUAUCAUGAAAAAAGAUCACAAUUUUGGGGCAUCUCGCUCAAUAUAGAACUAACAGUUGAAGACUUUUUGUAGAUGGAAAUUUCGGGGCAAUUCGAGCGGAAGAUUAUAUUCAAUUUUCACUAGACCUAAUAACUAUAAACUAGGAUUUUAGUUCUAUAGUUAACUAAAACAACACUAGUUAUAACCAACCAUGUUAUUACAAUACGUAAUAUUUACUAUUGACCAUUUGCAUUUCCUGGGCAAAUUGUUAGCGAAGAUCCAAUGUAAUCUGAAGCCAUGAUCAUCGUCUCCAUUGUAAAACACCAGCCUUGAUGGUAAGAUUUUCUUUGUUGAAUAAUGUUACUGUUUCUAUUAAUAAUUUUAAGUCAUAUUUUUUGUGUACUAAAAUACGUCUAAUUCUCUUCAUUGAACUAGAGGUCUAAGUCUUGGUCGCACCUACCUGAAGAGCCUUACAGUAUGAAAGCUUGGAACCUUAAUAAUAAUAGGGAAGGAAGGGGCGGUUGACGCUCUUGUACAUAUAACAGAAGAAGCAAGAAGGAGAGAGUCUUUAUUGUCAUUAUUGAUUUUCAAGACUGAAAUAUCUGUUAUCAUGUGAUAUAUUCAUUAUCAUACUUAUCAUUUGAUAUAUUCAUUAUCAUUAUCAUCGAGAACUAUGCUUCUUGUUUUAGACUCAUUUGAUUCUCUAUAUAGAUAGGGAGAACGUAUAGGAAAACAGCUAUGAUAAAGGUUAUCUGAAACAUUUUAUGAAGGAUCGCUGAAUAACACAGACCAGUGACGAGUAGAGAGGGCGCAGGGCAAUUUAUUUUUCAUGGAGGAACAUACUUUACUAGAUUACAUUAGAGACGACUUUCAAUAAGGAAGAAGAAGCACAAUGCGUGACCCUCACCAAUUGAUGAUUCCUCUUAUUACGUUUUCGUAGCGCUUUGCAUUGUGGUUAUAGUGGUAUCUCGAAAAUAUUGAAUGUUUUCGUGAAUAUUUCGCUGUUGGCUAUCGCGCACCUGACUGUAGGCUUUUUUAAAAGUUCUUGCACGAGUCAGGACAAAAAAUAAGCCACCUUAAAUAUCAGUGAUACCACUAUAACCACAAUGCAAAGCGCUACGAAAACGUAAUAAGGGGGAAUCUCCGAAUCUAGUAUUGACAACUCUCAUCAAUUGACUGGGCUCCUUUGAAGCCUGCUUUAAGCCCCAGUCAAUGAUGAGAGUUAGCAUGCAGUCACGCAUUGGGGACAUGUCAAGCAUUAGAUUAACUAGUAAAGGGUUUCAUGAAAUGAGUGUUCGAACUAUCUCUUAACUCAAUCUGGUUUUAACUUAAAUGGAAUCCAUGAUAGUGUUGGGAAAGCAUUAAGAACAGCUAACCAAGAUCUCGUGACUGUCAACUCUCAAGCACUCUCAUCCUCGUUUGAUCCUCUCGCUUUAGUUACAGUAUGCCUACUUUACUGGAGGAAAAUUAUCAUGCGUAGAGGAAAAUCUUCCCCUUUUCCUUUUCUCGCACCCUUCAUUUAAUAGUAUACCGGACGUCGCCAGUUUAACCGCAACUAAAAGGCUCCCUUUGUUCAUCGGGAAACCCUUCUUGGCUUCAGCCCUUUGUUAAGCAGGAAAAGGUGGUUCUUUCAAUACGUGAACAGGCGCCAGAUUUGUGAACUUUGUAGCCUUGACAAAAUAAACCAACUCCCCCGCAAUAUACGUGUUCCUGCCAUUUAAGCCAGGAAACACGCGCAUAAAAUCACGAUUUUUCUUUAUCUUAAUGCUUGAAUUAAGUUCCUCAAUGAAUAAAUCGUUCCUUAUAGCCAGUAAGUUAAUCAAAUUUGAAAACUGUUACUGCUUUGCUGUAAAUUGUGUCUGAAAAGGAGGGUGAACUAUAUUUAUAUCGAAAUAUAAUAUAUCGUCCGCUCAUAUAAUGACGCAGCUCUGACGUAGGCGUUUAUUUUUAACCUGUCAUUGUUAUGAAAAUUAUAAUUGGCUUGAAAGAAAUUCCUUUAACAAUAUUCAAAAUAGACAAAAACAAGUGUCCUCACAUAGUUUCGAUACGUGAAAGAAACAAGCGCUUAUAGAGUGAACAGUUUGCUUCGAACACACACAACAGCAAAAGCGUCGAGCCUUUCAGAUGGGUUGGCAGAAAACAAACGAUAAAUCAGAACAGUCUAAUAAUCCCAGAGCUGUAAGAAGAAACAGGCCACAAUCUGUGGCCAUCACAGGUGGAGAAGUCGAACGGAUUAUUUUACAACGACAGUAUUCGAGUACGGAAACCACCGUUCAACGGAAUGGGUCAGAAACCACACAACAAACUACGUUAACAUGUACAAUUGUAGGACAAAUAUUGAGAAUCGUCGGAGAUAAUUUGGACAAUGUUAAAAAGGACAACUAUGAGGUUACGAAUUACGGACGUGUUUAAACGCGCCUGGCUUUGGUGCUUCACAAGUGUAGCUUCGUAUGCUUGAUUCCUAUAAACGACCAUAAUUAAAGAAACAUAUAUAUCUUGAUGAAUGUCCGUAAAACAAAUAUAUCCAAAAAGAACCCGUGGUGUACAAUACACAAUAUAUAUUACAACCAAAGAAUCAUAUUGACUACAAAUUGAGGUAGAGAAAAAGAUGUACUUUUGAAGAUAGCUUGGAAGAGGAUUGAAGAUAGCUUUAACUAUGGCAGAGGCGGAAUUUUCAGCUCGUAAUUUGAAGGAAUUUAAUAAGUCGAUUUAGGCGAGUUGAUGUAAUUGUAGAUGUAUAAGAAUGUACAGACUGUACAUGCAGUGUUUAACCGGUUAGAUUUAUAAUAAAGACGAGAACUUGUUGUUUUAUAAGCCUCGUUUCCAUUAAGGCCCGUUCAACCGAGGCCAGCAGGUUGGUUCAACAUCAUCCAAUAUUGUUGAAUGCAACUUGGAAGACAUUUUCGGUGUCAAAUACAGUUCUAGCAAUAUCAGUUGCUGUCUGUUUUAUGCAGUUGUUAUAAUUCUUGCGCGACUACAGCCCCCAAAAUUAAAAGUGGGGGGUAUAAGCCCCCCCAAAAAAAAACAAAAAAAAACCCAACCCGGCUAAGAUUCCAAACUGAAGUUUAUAUACAAGCAAUGGGAAAAUUUAGAGAAAAAUUUAGGACCAAUGAAAGAAAACCGGUACGUGUAUUAAAAAUAUCAAAUAGGACAUAUGGUACUGGUCCGGAAAUUUUUUAUAUCAAGGACAAUUCAUGGAAAUUAGCCCCCCCCCUCCAAAAAAAAUUGUUCCGCCGCCACUGGUUGUGAGUCAAAACGCGCUAGGUAUGAUGGAUCAACCCUCGUCUCACGCCCCCGUUGUGUACCACUGAUAUCCUACAAGAGGUCCUCUACUAUCCCUACGUUACCACUACAAUACCUAACGCGUUAACAACUAAUUUGUUUCCCCAGUAGUAUUACGUAACUUGACAAAAAAUUCUAACCAAAUCGCAAGACCACAGUUAGGAAAAUGUAUCCUACUACAGUGUUGAGUAAUGGACGAAGCGUUAGUUUAUAAAUGUCUUUUUUAAAAUUCCUUUUUGUGAUGGCUCUAGCUUUUGAUAUUUAGAAUAAGAUUACGAUUCCCGCAUUCGUCACUUUCUCAAGGGCCCAUUUGCAAU